GGGAUGUGAUGAGAGCAGGGUGCCUGAAGAAUGGCUCCUCUGUGUAUAACACAUCCAACAGGAAUGUAGGUUUACUCCUCACAGGUGGCAAGAUACUAUGACCUCCCUGUGACAUUACAACCUAUACAU